CACGUAGGGUGCGAGCGUUGCCCGGAAUUAUUGGGCGUAAAGAGCUCGUAGGCGGUUUGUCGCGUCUGCUGUGAAAACCUAAGGCUCAACCUUGGGCUUGCAGUGGGUACGGGCAGACUAGAGUGCGGUAGGGGUGACUGGAAUUCCUGGUGUAGCGGUGAAAUGCGCAGAUAUCAGGAGGAACACCGAUGGCGAAGGCAGCUCGCUGGGACGGUACUGACGCUGAGGCGCGAAAGCGUGGGGAGCAAACAGG
rnacentral:rRNA from 1 species